rnacentral:lncRNA from 1 species
CCUGGUUUGGUCAAUGAUAAUAGGAAGGCACAAGAUGUCUCCAUGGAUAAAACCUAUUAUCUUUAUGGCUUGAUAGGAUGUAGGAAGAAUAAUUACAAGGAUUACCUUAUAAUCUUGAAGCAGGAUGCAAGUGUUGCACCGAAAGAUAUGUAUAUGAUAUAGACUUAUUUUUCAUUGAGUACAUCAGACUCUGAUACUUGGGUAUUGGAUACUGCCUGUAGAUCGCAUAUAUACAAUUCAUUACAAUGACUAUAGAAUAUCAAAGGUCUGAAAAAAGGUAACCUAGAGCUUUAUGGUGCAAGUGGAGAGUCUAUUAGUGUAGAGGCUGUAGGAACCUACAUGCUUAAUUUACCUUCGGAUAAGAUUUUAAAAUUAAAAGACUAUUAUUACAUACCUAGGUUAUUAGAAAUAUUAUUUUUAUACCUUUGUUAUUAAAUUAAGGUUAUGAAAUAAAGUUAAUGGGCAAUGGUUGCUCUGUUUCUUUUUUUAAUAAAUUUUAUAGCAGUGGUUAUAUUGAUAACAACCUUUUACUUCUAGCACUCAAUAAAAAUAUCUUUCUUAUUGAUAAAAAUAUGAAAAGAAAGAGAGAAGAUAUAAAUAUUAAA